AGCAAAUCGAUGAAUAAGAAGAGUAGCGCGUGAUCUCCACUCAAAGAGAGCCAGUGGCAGGUGUAAACUGGUGUGGAACAGGUGUGAAUGGACUUAUGAGUGAUUCCUUGAAAUCGGAGUAAAGGGAUCCGUCUCCCCGCGUUAUAGGGGAUCAAGUGAAAGCUGGAUCAGCUUUAACAUGAGGUGGCACCGCGGUUGAACCGUCCUCUGC
rnacentral:ncRNA from 2 species